AAUGAGCUAAAAGUCCAAAACUCGUGUGCAUGUAAUUCCACAAUAUAGUAGCAAGACCAGAAAUGAUUUUAAACCAAUCUAAUCUCAUAGUUGCUUUAAAGAUUUUUACCGUCAACAACUUCUCCUUGUCAUGGGGAAUAAUAUAGGUUAGGAAGGAUUUAUUUUCCUCUUUAGGCAUCACGUCCAGACGCUGUGUACAAAGCUAGCAAAUCAGAACCAGUUCCUCUAAUAGUUUCAGAAAAGAAAGGGAAAAAGCAAUAGGCAUCUUUGACAUACACUUUUAAAGAACUGUUUCAAUGCUUCAGGUUGAGAUGUACUCAAACUAUCUUCCCUUUCAGGAGACCCAUUUGUCCCACCAGAAAAGCUUACGUUAGCAAUGAAACCAGUUCCAAACUUCGAUUUCAAUCUUAUUGAAGUUCCGAUGCAACGAAGUCUACCCUUUGCCAUGAUGCCAAUGCGGUCACUUAAGAUGUCAGCUUCUUCCAUUGAAUGAGUAUAAUUUUGUAAUAUAUUGAUAAAUUAGUGUUAACCAAAACGAAGCUAUAAGAUACAAAGAAUCUGCCUGGAAACAAAAUGUUCUGGUGACACACAAAUACUCCAAAUAGCAAACACAUUUACAGCAAUUCACCUAUACACAAAAAUAGUUUAAAGCCUUUUUUUACUGUGACUAUUAAGUUCUAUAUCUAUCAUGAAGUUGCACCCGUGAUCUGUGCAGGGUCGAUCACAAUUCCAUGAUUUUGUUUCUGUCGUCCUAAAAUGUUUCUACCAGAAGUGGCUGUUGGAGGAUCUCUUAGUUGAAUAUGAGCUGGUAUUGGCAUGUCUUGUGAGUGACCCGAAAUGCAGAGUGUACCAGAAUCAUCUUGUUCCCAAUACACUUCUACCAUAGUACCGAUAGGAUUCUCAGCAGAUUCUGUUCCUGGGAUUUUCACAAAUCUUGCUCCUACAGGUAUCUGAAUAGUCACAUAAAUGAAACAGCGUUACUUAUUUCACAGAGAUUAGAGUUUUCGCAUGCAAUCUCAUCAAGAAAAUUAGGAAAUCGAGAAUCUGAUAAUCUACUUACUUGAAGUGAGAGCCCCGUAUUCAAAGUAAGAGUUGCAGAGCUUCCUUCAGCCACAUCUUCCAAUUCUGCUUGUCUAGCAAUGUUUAGAAAAACUUCUUCAAGAGUUGUAAGCCCCAGCUGGAUAUCUGAUAUGCCAAAUUCCAUAUCUCUAGCUUGUAGCUCAGCAAAAAAGUCCUGAUUGAAGGUAAAAGCCAGUGAUCACCAAAUGAGCUAAAAGUCCAAAACUCGUGUGCAUGUAAUUCCACAAUAUAGUAGCAAGACCAGAAAUGAUUUUAAACCAAUCUAAUCUCAUAGUUGCUUUAAAGAUUUUUACCGUCAACAACUUCUCCUUGUCAUGGGGAAUAAUAUAGGUUAGGAAGGAUUUAUUUUCCUCUUUAGGCAUCACGUCCAGACGCUGUGUACAAAGCUAGCAAAUCAGAACCAGUUCCUCUAAUAGUUUCAGAAAAGAAAGGGAAAAAGCAAUAGGCAUCUUUGACAUACACUUUUAAAGAACUG
rnacentral:lncRNA from 1 species